rnacentral:rRNA from 1 species
AGUGAACGCUGGCGGUAGGCCUAACACAUGCAAGUCGAACGGCAGCACAGUAAGAGCUUGCUCUUACGGGUGGCGAGUGGCGGACGGGUGAGGAAUACAUCGGAAUCUACCUUUUCGUGGGGGAUAACGUAGGGAAACUUACGCUAAUACCGCAUACGACCUACGGGUGAAAGCAGGGGAUCUUCGGACCUUGCGCGAUUGAAUGAGCCGAUGUCGGAUUAGCUAGUUGGCGGGGUAAAGGCCCACCAAGGCGACGAUCCGUAGCUGGUCUGAGAGGAUGAUCAGCCACACUGGAACUGAGACACGGUCCAGACCCCUACGGGAGGCAGCAGUGGGGAAUAUUGGACAAUGGGCGCAAGCCUGAUCCAGCCAUACCGCGUGGGUGAAGAAGGCCUUCGGGUUGUAAAGCCCUUUUGUUGGGAAUGAAAAGCAGCAGGUUAAUACCCCGCUGUUCUGACGGUACCCAAAGAAUAAGCACCGGCUAACUUCGUG